rnacentral:rRNA from 1 species
UACGAAGGGGGCUAGCGUUGCUCGGAAUCACUGGGCGUAAAGAGCGCGCAGGCGGUCGUUCAAGUCGCGUGUGAAAGCCCCCGGCUCAACUGGGGAGGGUCACGCGAUACUGAUCGACUCGAAGGCAGGAGAGGGUAGUGGAAUUCCCGGUGUAGUGGUGAAAUGCGUAGAUAUCGGGAGGAACACCAGUGGCGAAGGCGGCUCACUGGCCCGAUACUGACGCUGAGGCACGAAAGCGUGGGGAGCAAACAGG